rnacentral:rRNA from 1 species
CGUGAUGGCAUGCGAAUCUCGAAAGCCUAUCUCAGUUCGGAUUGGAGGCUGAAACCCGCCUCCAUGAAGUUGGAUUCGCUAGUAAUCGCGCAUCAGCCAUGGCGCGGUGAAUACGUUCCCGGGCCUUGUACACACCGCCCGUCACACCAUGGAAGUCUGCAAUGCCCGAAGCCGGUGGCCUAACCACUUAUGUGGAAGGAGCCGUCUAAGGCAGGGCAGAUGACUGGGGUGAAGUCGUAACAAGGUAGC